rnacentral:ncRNA from 2 species
AGCAUGUUAUAUGACUGACGGAAGUGGAGUAUACCACAUGAAGUAUAACGAGAAGAUGCCGACCGUCUGGGCGAUUUAG